rnacentral:lncRNA from 1 species
AAAAGGCCUGCAAAGUUGCGGGUGCACUGGGCGGGGGCAGUGGUGGGGGGGCUGUGGGGAGAAGGAGAGAUGAUUAGAUUAGAAGAGGUCUGCUGUAAAUAACACACAAGAAGGGCAUUUUGUUUCUUUUUAGGCCCUCUUUUGUAUCAUGUUUUAUACAAGGGAAAAGAGCAUAAUACAACAUCUAUGAAAUGUUAAUGAGGGUUACUCGCUAUUUACCUAGGUUGGGGGUUUGCAGAGAAAGCGGGGCUGGGCUGGGGGGAGGGAGGUGGAGAAGAUCAGAUUCCAUGCAAAUACAGACAUCCGGGAGCCUGGAAGGCUUUGGAACCAGAGCCGGACUGGACCCAUUGUAUCUGGAUGGAGGGGAAAGAAAGCAACAAAUGCUAUGGCUGGAAUGGUGUUUUCCCUCUUGCCCAGAAGCAAAGCAGUGUGAGCCCGGAUGGGAGCCUCCAGCAGCCCUGGGCUUGCAUUCUCCUGGUUUAGGAAGUCUCCUGGUCCCGCGGAGGUCCUGGCUUGAAUCUCAUUGGACCGCCGAGUCAUCUGCCAAUCACAGAGAAUUUUGGAGCAGUUGA